ACCGUGCGAAGGUAGCGUAAUCACUUGUUCUUUAAAUGAGGACUAGUAUGAAUGGCACCACGAGGGUUAAACUGUCUCCUUUUUUUAAUCAGUGAAACUAAUCUCCCCGUGAAGAAGCGGGGAUUCUUUUAUAAGACGAGAAGACCCUAUGGAGCUUUAAACAAGUUAACACCUGCUACUAAUCNNCUCACUUUCCUGAACCACCACAUUAAGUAUAGCACCUCUGAUUAACAGUUUUCGAUUGGGGUGAUCAUGGAGCAAAAAUCAACCUCCACGACGAAAAGGAACACCUCCUUGAGCCAAAAGCUACAACUUUAAGCACUAAAAAACUAACGCACUUUGACCCAAUUCUUUGAGCAACGAACCAAGUUACCCUAGGGAUAACAGCGCAAUCCACUUUAAGAGCCCCUAUCGACAAGUGGGUUUACGACCUCGAUGUUGGAUCAGGGUAUCCCAGUGGUGCAGCCGCUACUAAAGGUUCGUUUGUUCAACGAUUAAAACCCUACGUGAUCUGAGUUCAGACCGGAGUAAUCCAGGUCAGUUUCUAUCUAUAAAGGGCUUUUUCUAGUACGAAAGGACCGAAAAAGCAUGGCCUAUAACCCAUCAAGCCAUAUAAAUUACUAUUGUUCCCAACUUAAAUAGAAGUAAACCUACCACUUAUCUCGAUAAAAGAGAAGUUAACGUAGCAUAACCUGGCCUUGCAG
rnacentral:rRNA from 1 species